CUGCCAUCCAUGGAUUCUGUCAGUGUUUUGAUCUGUUCACCAUCAACAUUGCGUGCAGCAGCAACCACAGCCUCCCUGACACUGUUCAGAGAGGUGUACUGUUUUCCCUCCUUGUAAAUCUCACAUUUGAUGAUGGACCACAGGUUCUCAAUGGGGUUCAGAUCAGGUGAACAAGGAGGCCAUGUCAUUAGAUUUUCUUCUUUUAUACCCU